rnacentral:rRNA from 1 species
GAUGAACGCUAGCGGCAGGCUUAACACAUGCAAGUCGAGGGGUAUAGUUCUUCGGAACUAGAGACCGGCGCACGGGUGCGUAACGCGUAUGCAAUCUACCUUUUACAGGGGGAUAGCCCAGAGAAAUUUGGAUUAAUACCCCAUAGUAUGUUAGAGUGGCAUCAUUUUAACAUUAAAGUUCCAACGGUAAAAGAUGAGCAUGCGUCCCAUUAGCUAGAUGGUAAGGUAACGGCUUACCAUGGCGACGAUGGGUAGGGGUCCUGAGAGGGAGAUCCCCCACACUGGUACUGAGACACGGACCAGACUCCUAAGGGAGGCAGCAGUGAGGAAUAUUGGACAAUGGGCGCAAGCUUGAUCCAGCCAUGCCGCGUGCAGGAAGACGGUCCUAUGGAUUGUAAACUGCUUUUGUACAGGAAGAAACACUCCCUCGUGAGGGAGCUUGACGGUACUGUAAGAAUAAGGAUCGGCUAACUCCGUGCCAGCCGCCGCCGUAAUAC